rnacentral:lncRNA from 1 species
AGGAAAUGACCUCAUUCUUGAUGGCUGCUGCUAACUUAUGGUGAGAUGCUGGGUCCCUGCCCAAUACCACAUGGACAUCCAAUCAAUUUACCCAGGGACAAGUCCACUCAAGAGCAUCAUUUAGAAGAGGGAAAAGGCACUGGGGUUAUUUGUUUUUGGAGUAUGUGCUUAAGGAAAUCUAGAGUAUUCCCACGAGCAUUCUGCUGAGAUGAACAAUCAGAUGACCUCGUGUGAGAUUUGGAGGAGAGAAGGAAAUGGAGAGCAUGCGUCUGCCGCUUCUGUGGUUUCUGUCGCAACCUUCGUGGGACUCAUUGCUGCUGGAGGCCUCAUAAAUAUUCUAGGGCUACAAUGCCCUGCAAAAAACCCAUCAGCACUGGCAACCCUGACCCUCUUCUCUGUGGUUAGAUGGGAGCCAGGGCCAAGGGACAUGCAAGG